CGAAGUCGUGAGGCGGAGCAAAUCUCGAAAACCGGUCCCAGUUCGGACUGCAGGCUGCAACUCGCCUGCACGAAGCCGGAGUUGCUAGUAAUCGCGGAUCAGAAUGCCGCGGUGAAUGCGUUCCCGGGUCUUGUACACACCGCCCGUCACACCAUGGGAGUCGGAAAUGCCCGAAGUCUGUGACCCAACCUUAGGGAGGGAGCAGCCGAAGGCAGGUCGGAUGACUGGGGUGAAGUCGUAACAAGGUAUC
rnacentral:rRNA from 1 species